rnacentral:rRNA from 1 species
AAUCCAUAGGUUAAUGAGGCGAACCGGGGGAACUGAAACAUCUAAGUACCCCGAGGAAAAGAAAUCAACCGAGAUUCCCCCAGUAGCGGCGAGCGAACGGGGAGGAGCCCAGAGCCUGAAUCAGCAUGUGUGUUAGUGGAAGCGUCUGGAAAGGCGCGCGAUACAGGGUGACAGCCCCGUACACAAAAGCGCAUGUGCUGUGAGCUCGAUGAGUAGGGCGGGACACGUGGUAUCCUGUCUGAAUAUGGGGGGACCAUCCUCCAAGGCUAAAUACUCCUGACUGACCGAUAGUGAACCAGUACCGUGAGGGAAAGGCGAAAAGAACCCCGGCGAGGGGAGUGAAAAAGAACCUGAAACCGUGUACGUACAAGCAGUGGGAGCACAGGUUUACCUGUGUGACUGCGUACCUUUUGUAUAAUGGGUCAGCGACUUAUAUUCUGUAGCAAGGUUAACCGUAUAGGGGAGCCGCAGGGAAA